UCUUUACGAAGUUUCUAAAUU
rnacentral:piRNA from 1 species